rnacentral:rRNA from 1 species
UACGGGGGGAGCAAGCGUUGUUCGGAUUUACUGGGCGUAAAGAGCGCGCAGGCGGUCGUGCAAGUCGCGUGUGAAAGCCCCCGGCUCAACUGGGGAGGGUCACGCGAUACUGCUCGACUCGAAGGCAGGAGAGGGAAGUGGAAUUCCCGGUGUAGUGGUGAAAUGCGUAGAUAUCGGGAGGAACACCAGUGGCGAAGGCGACUUCCUGGCCUGUUCUUGACGCUGAGGCGCGAAAGCUAGGGUAGCAAACGGG